rnacentral:rRNA from 1 species
CAGUCGCCGCGGUAAUACGUAGGGUGCAAGCGUUAAUCGGAAUUACUGGGCGUAAAGCGUGCGCAGGCGGUUAUAUAAGACAGAUGUGAAAUCCCCGGGCUCAACCUGGGAACUGCAUUUGUGACUGUAUAGCUAGAGUACGGCAGAGGGGGAUGGAAUUCCGCGUGUAGCAGUGAAAUGCGUAGAUAUGCGGAGGAACACCGAUGGCGAAGGCAAUCCCCUGGGCCUGUACUGACGCUCAUGCACGAAAGCGAGGGGAGCAAACAGGAUUAGAUACCCCGGUAGUCCCUGUCUCUUAUAC